AUUGAACGCUGGCGGCAGGCCUAACACAUACAAGUCGAGCGGGGUGAUGGUGCUUGCACUAUCACUUAGCGGCGGACGGGUGAGUAAUGCUUAGGAAUCUGCCUAUUAGUGGGGGACAACAUCUCGAAAGGGAUGCUAAUACCGCAUACGUCCUACGGGAGAAAGCAGGGGAUCACUUGUGACCUUGCGCUAAUAGAUGAGCCUAAGUCGGAUUAGCUAGUUGGUGGGGUAAAGGCCUACCAAGGCGACGAUCUGUAGCGGGUCUGAGAGGAUGGUCCGCCAAACUGGGACUGAGACACGGCCCAGACUCCUACGGGAGGCAGCAGUGGGGAAUAUUGGAAAAUGGGGGGAACCCUGAUCCAGCCAUGCCGCGUGUGUGAAGAAGGCCUUAUGGUUGUAAAGCACUUUAAGCGAGGAGGAGGCUCUUUUGGUUAAUACCCAAGAUGAGUGGACGUUACUCGCAGAAUAAGCACCGGCUAACUCUGUGCCAGCCGCCGCCGUAA
rnacentral:rRNA from 1 species